GCGCUAAUAGCUCAGUUGGGAGAGCGUCAGACUGCUGAAGGUCACCCGUUCAAUCCGGGUUUGGCGCA
rnacentral:tRNA from 1 species